rnacentral:rRNA from 1 species
CGAGCGAACGGACGAGAAGCUUGCUUCUCUGAUGUUAGCGGCGGACGGGUGAGUAACACGUGGAUAACCUACCUAUAAGACUGGGAUAACUUCGGGAAACCGGAGCUAAUACCGGAUAAUAUUUUGAACCGCAUGGUUCAAAAGUGAAAGACGGUCUUGCUGUCACUUAUAGAUGGAUCCGCGCUGCAUUAGCUAGUUGGUAAGGUAACGGCUUACCAAGGCAACGAUGCAUAGCCGACCUGAGAGGGUGAUCGGCCACACUGGAACUGAGACACGGUCCAGACUCCUACGGGAGGCAGCAGUAGGGAAUCUUCCGCAAUGGGCGAAAGCCUGACGGAGCAACGCCGCGUGAGUGAUGAAGGUCUUCGGAUCGUAAAACUCUGUUAUUAGGGAAGAACAUAUGUGUAAGUAACUGUGCACAUCUUGACGGUACCUAAUCAGAAAGCCACGGCUAACUACGUGCCAGCAGCCGCGGUAAUACGUAGGUGGCAAGCGUUAUCCGGAAUUAUUGGGCGUAAAGCGCGCGUAGGCGGUUUUUUAAGUCUGAUGUGAAAGCCCACGGGUCAACCGUGGAGGGUCAUU